UAGCGUCUUCAGGGCGGGGUGAGAUUCCCCACCGGCGGUAGGCCUUUCGAGGCGAGCCCGCGAGCGCUUCCGGCCAUGCCGGAAGGUCAGCAGAUCCGGUCGAAUGCCGGAGCCGACGGUUGGAAACGGGUGACCGCUUCCUCACAGUCCGGAUAAAGAGAAGACGGCA
rnacentral:ncRNA from 2 species